ensembl:lncRNA
CUCUACUAAAAAUACAAAAUUAGGCCGGGCAUGGUGGCGCAUGCCUGUAAUCCCAGCAACUCGGGAGGCUGAGGCAGGAGAAUUGCUUGAACCCAGGAGGCGGAAGUUGUGGUGAGCAGAGAUUGCGCCAUUGCACUCCAGCCUGGGCAACAAGAGCGAAACUCUGUCUCAAAAAAACAAAACAAAACAAAAGAGUAGCAACCUAGGCCGGGCGCAGUGGCUCACGUCUGUAAUCCCAACACUUUGGAAGGCUGAGGAGGGUGGAUCACCUGAGGUCAGGAGUUCGAGACCAGCCUGGCCAACAUGGUGAAACCCCGUCUCUACUAAAAAUACAAAAAUUAGCCGGGCGUGGUGGUGGGCGCCUGUAAUCCCAGCUACUUGGAAGGCUGAGGCAGGAGAAUUGCUUGAACGCAGGAGGCGGAGGUUGCAGUGAAUGUAGAUCGAGCCACUGCACUCCAGCCUGGGCGAUAGAGCGAGACUCCGUCUCAAACAAAUAAACAAAAAGACUAGCAACCUCCUCUCCAGCAAUGCCAACCCCAGUCCAGGCCCCCAUCCGCCCAGGAUCUCGAUCAAAAAACAUUAAUCUGUGGCCUUUCUUUGCCAUUUCCAACUCUGCCACCUCCAUCAAACGACAAGGUCCCCUUCUUCCUUUCCAUUCCCGUCAGCUUCAUUUCCCUAAUCUCCGUACAAAUCCCUAGCCUGACUCCCUUUCCUUUCCAUCCUCACCAGAAGCCCGCAUGCCGGACCUCAAAAGCGCAAACGCUAAAAACCGGUUGAGUUGACGCACGGAGAGAAGGGGUGUGUGGGUGGGUGUGUGUGUGUUAGUGUGUGUGCUUGUGUGUGGAAGAAACCAACAGGGUUCACGCUGGUGUCCAUUUCUGGAAAUGCCAAUCGCGCCCAACUGCGGGAGCCAGGAUCAGGUCCCCAGGGCGCCCUUGCAGACAGCACCCUGAGCGAAGGAGCUCAGAAGGCAGUCCGGCUUCACCCAGACCCCCAAUCCCACAGAAGCCCCGUACCCCAGCGGCACAGCAGCCCCUCCCCGGCGCGGUGGUAGGGCCCGACGCGACGUCACCCAUUGUUUACAAAUCAACCCGAGCCGGCAGGAUUCCGGCUCCCGCGGCUACAGGCGCGCGGCUCGAGUGCCUGGCGGGCUCCGGCUUCCGCGUCCGCCCGGCCCCGGUCCGGACUUAGUCUUCAGCUCCGCGCCCGCUCCGCCGCGGCCCACCGCGCCCGCCGGUAGCCGAGCCCCCAGCGACGCCCGCACAGCUCCAGGUCACUGUUUCCUGGGCACGCACCGGGUUGCGGGACAGAGUCGCCGGGUUCUGCCCAUGCUCGGAGAAGAGCGCAGUGUUUUCCAAGUGCUGGAGUCUCCUGAGGACACGCGCGCCGCCGCCACCGCGGGUGUGGGAAAGCGCGGACGUGCUGGGCGUCUGUGCUUCGUCAAUGGCUUGUUCAUCAUCCAGAUGUGGCUACUGACAUAUCUACACUUCGCACCGGAGUGUCUGGAAUUGUGGCUAUCCUGAUUAUAGGAUUUUAACUUAACUGAAAUGCCUGCUUUGAAUAAAUGUGUUGGGUUUUUUGUUUGGUUUUAUUUUAUACUUGCCAUCGGUGAAAAAGAUGUACAGAACACAUUUCUCUGAUCUCCAUAAACAUGAAAACACUUGAAAUCUCUGUCAGCCUGGCUUGCGGAUGGUAAUUAGAGCGCCUUUGUGUCUGAGCAGCUCACUAGCUAGACAAGGUCUCCGCAGCUGGGUGUGUAUUGGAGCUGGCAUGAAAUUAAAUGAAAGUGAGAUCAGGUUUUGGACCAAUCCCAUUCGUUAAAACCUCAGAGCCUUUUGGAUUACUAGUCAGUGAUGGAGAUGUGUUAUAAAGCUGCCUCUAUUAGCAAAGGACAUCAGAUCAGCCAGUCACUGCAAACUGGGAGGCUUAUCUUUUUUUUUUUUUUCUUUCUUUUUUUCUUUCUACUGUGGCCAUUAAGUGCACUUGUUCCACAAGGUGGGCCUUAAGGCUGGGGCAGCUCUUGAUUAGGGGACUGCUCACAGUGUGAACCUGGUGGUAGGAAAGCUGGGUGGAAACUUACAAAAGACUCCUGUCUUUGCCCCUGGCACAUUUAUAC